AUUGAACGCUGGCGGCAGGCCUAACACAUGCAAGUCGAGCGGAUGGAGGGAGCUUGCUCCUGGAUUCAGCUGCGGACGGGUGAGUAAUUCCUACGAAUCUGCCUGGUAUUUGGGGAUAACGUCCGGAAACGGGCGCUAAUACAGCAUACGUCCUUAUAUAGAAAGGGGGGGAUCUUCGGACCUCACGCUAUCAGAUGAGCCUAGGUCGGAUUAGCUAGUUGGUGGGGUAAAGGCCUACCAAGGCGACGAUCCGUAACUGGUCUGAGAGGAUGAUCAGUCACACUGGAACUGAGACACGGUCCAGACUCCUACGGGAGGCAGCAGUGGGGAAUAUUGGACAAUGGGCGAAAGCCUGAUCCAGCAAUGCCGCGUGUGUGAAGAAGGUCUUCGGAUUGUAAAGCACUUUAAGUUGGGAGGAAGGGCAGUAAGUUAAUACAUUGCUGUUUUGACGUUACCAACAGAAUAAGCACCGGCUAACUUCGUG
rnacentral:rRNA from 1 species